AGUGAACGCUGGCGGUAGGCCUAACACAUGCAGGUCGAACGGCAGCACAGGAGAGCUUGCUCUCUGGGUGGCGAGUGGCGGACGGGUGAGGAAUACAUCGGAAUCUGCCCAGUCGUGGGGGAUAACGUAGGGAAACUUACGCUAAUACCGCAUACGACCUUCGGGUGAAAGAGGGGGAGCGCAAGACCUCUCGCGAUUGGAUGAGCCGAUGUCGGAUUAGCUAGUUGGCGGGGUAAUGGCCCACCAAGGCGACGAUCCGUAGCUGGUCUGAGAGGAUGAUCAGCCGCAGUGGAACUGAGACAGGGUCCAGACUCCUACGGGAGGCAGCAGUGGGGAAGAUUGGACAAUGGGCGCAAGCCUGAUCCAGCCAGACCGAGUGGGUGAAGAAGGCCUUCGGGUUGUAAAGCCCUUUUGUUGGGAAAGAAAUCUUUCAGGCUAAUACCCUGGGAGGAUGACGGUACCCAAAGAAUAAGCACCGGCUAACUUCGUG
rnacentral:rRNA from 1 species